GCCUAAAUAGCUCAGUUGGGAGAGCGUUAGAAUAUGAAUCGAAAAGUCCCUGGUUCCAUCCCGCGUUUCGAGU
rnacentral:tRNA from 1 species